rnacentral:rRNA from 1 species
GAUGAACGCUGGCGGCGUGCCUAAUACGUGCAAGUCGAGCGAACGGACGAGAAGCUUGCUUCUCUGAUGUUAGCGGCGAACGGGUGAGUAACACGUGGAUAACCUACCUAUAAGACUGGGAUAACUUCGGGAAACCGUAGCUAAUACCGGAUAAUAUUUUGAACCGCAUGGUUCAAAAGUGAAAGACGGUCUUGCUGUCACUUAUAGAUGGAUCCGCGCUGCAUAGCUAGUUGGUAAGGUAACGGCUUACCAAGGCAACGAUGCAUAGCCGACCUGAGAGGGUGAUCGGCCACACUGGAACUGAGACACGGUCCAGACUCCUACGGGAGGCAGCAGUAGGGAAUCUUCCGCAAUGGGCGAAAGCCUGACGGAGCAACGCCGCGUGAGUGAUGAAGGUCUUCGGAUCGUAAAACUCUGUUAUUAGGGAAGAACAUAUGUGUAAGUAACUGUGCACAUCUUGACGGUACCUAAUCAGAAAGCCACGGCUAACUACGUG